GACGAACGCUGGCGGCGUGCUUAACACAUGCAAGUCGAACGGAAAGGCCCUGCUUUUGUGGGGUGCUCGAGUGGCUAACGGGUGAGUAACACGUUAGUAACCUGCCCUUGACUUUGGGAUAACUUCAGUAAACUGGGGCUAAUACCGGAUAGGAGCUCCUGCUGCAUGGUGGGGGUUGGAAAGUUUCGGCGGUUGGGGAUGGACUCGCGGCUUAUCAGCUUGUUGGUGGGGUAGUGGCUUACCAAGGCUUUGACGGGUAGCCGGCCUGAGAGGGUGACCGGCCACAUUGGGACUGAGAUACGGCCCAGACUCCUACGGGAGGCAGCAGUGGGGAAUAUUGCACAAUGGGCGGAAGCCUGAUGCAGCAACGCCGAGUGCGGGAUGACGGCCUUCGGGUUGUAAACCGCUUUCGCCUGUGACGAAGCGUGAGUGACGGUAAUGGGUAAAGAAGAACCGGCUAAAUACGUG
rnacentral:rRNA from 1 species